AGUGAACGCUGGCGGUAGGCCUAACACAUGCAAGUCGAACGGCAGCACAGUAAGAGCUUGCUCUUACGGGUGGCGAGUGGCGGACGGGUGAGGAAUACAUCGGAAUCUACUUUUUCGUGGGGGAUAACGUAGGGAAACUUACGCUAAUACCGCAUACGACCUACGGGUGACAGCAGGGGAUCUUCGGACCUUGCGCGAUUGAAUGAGCCGAUGUCGGAUUAGCUAGUUGGCGGGGUAAAGGCCCACCAAGGCGACGAUCCGUAGCUGGUCUGAGGGGAUGAUCAGCCACACUGGAACUGAGACACGGUCCAGACUCCUACGGGAGGCAGCAGUGGUGAAUAUUGGACAAUGGGCGCAAGCCUGAUCCAGCCAUACCGCGUGGUGGAAGAAGGCCUUCGGGUUGUAGAGCCCUUUUGUUGGGAAAGAAGAGCAGCAGGUUAAUACCCCGCUGUUCUGACGGUACCCAAAGAAUAAGCACCGGCUAACUUCGUG
rnacentral:rRNA from 1 species